UGUAUGAGACAUUGUAAACGUCAGCCUUUAUUAGAGUCCAGACAGUAAAUGAGUGGUCAUGGUGUAAACUGAGCAGAGAGUGAAUCUGAAGCUUUAAUAAGAUCUAAGAUGAAUUCAUUCAUUUAAUGUUUGUGUUUUUGUUCUGUGUUUAAAAGUACAGACUCUUCUUCUUCUGAAGGAGCCGGGAGCUUCACCUGAACCUGAACCUGCUGCAGCUCUGAGUACAGACCUACCCGCACCUUUUGUCCCUCCUCUCUCUCCGUACUUUGUCUCAGCACCUGUCGGGUGUUCGCAGUCGUUUGUUUCUGGAUGAGAUCUGUUCCUCAGUCAGUCCCCUGAACGCCUCGUCAGGAAACACAGGGAUGACGCCAUGUUGGUGACUUCACCAGCUCAGCACCACGAUCCACAGGACCAGGACCAGGAUCAGGACUAAGCCCAGGGUUAGGACUCCAGUUCAGGUGUUUUCCAGGUUUACUGGUUCAGCUGCUGCAGCCUGGACACAAACACCAACUCUCAGCUGACAACAGGUGUCACCACUUUGUCCAUGACAUCGUCCGUGAUCACAGAGACAUUGUCCAUGAUCACAGAGAGUCUUUGAACAAUGAAGAAGUUGUUUGAGACCAGGACAGAGGCCUCCAGGAUUCAAACUUGAACCAUUAAACCACAGAGAGAAGAGACAGACGUGAAGACAUUUCCAGAAGGUCUUCAGCUGCUCAUCUAAUCAUCUUCUCCUGCAGAGACAAGAACAUGUGUUAAUCAGACAGAAUUUAACAGUGGUCGAUAAACAUGAACUGUGACUUACAUACAGCUAUUGAAACUGCUUUACUGCACAGUACUUAACAAGGUAAAUGAAAAUCUAAAAUUCAAACCUAUGAGAGAGUUUUUGCCUUUCCUUAUGUUUCUUUUCAGAAAUUAUUAUACUAAAAUGAUUUAAGAAUAAUCUUACAUCUUAACUUUGUUUUCCAGACAGACACACACACCUCUACACAGCAUUUGUGGGUUAACUUAGAGUUUUACUUGUAUUUUCCUAUUUCAAACAGUGCAAAAUCAAUACUCAAAUCCAAUCUACUACUGUGUACAUAGUCCUGUUUAUAUCAUUCCUUACUUUCUAUUUCUCCUGUUGCAUUACUGAAUUUCCCAGCUGUGGGACUAAUAAAUACUU